AGCUUGCUCUUUCCGGAAUUGAGUGGCAAACGGGUGAGUAACACGUAAACAACCUGCCUUCAGGAUGGGGACAACAGACGGAAACGACUGCUAAUACCGAAUAAGUUCCAAGAGCCGCAUGGCCCAUGGAAGAAAAGGUGGCCUCUACCUGUAAGCUAUCGCCUGAAGAGGGGUUUGCGUCUGAUUAGCUGGUUGGAGGGGUUACGGCCCACCAAGGCGACGAUCAGUAGCCGGUCUGAGAGGAUGAACGGCCACACUGGAACUGAGACACGGUCCAGACUCCUACGGGAGGCAGCAGUGGGGAAUCUUCCGCAAUGGGCGAAAGCCUGACGGAGCAACGCCGCGUGAGUGAUGACGGCCUUCGGGUUGUAAAACUCUGUGAUCCGGGACGAAAAGGCAGAGUGCGAAGAACAAACUGCAUUGACGGUACCGGAAAAGCAAGCCACGGCUAACUACGUGCCAGCAGCCGCGGUAAUACGUAGGUGGCAAGCGUUGUCCGGAAUUAUUGGGCGUAAAGCGCGCGCAGGCGGCUUCCCAAGUCCCUCUUAAAAGUGCGGGGCUUAACCCCGUGAUGGGAAGGAAACUGGGAAGCUGGAGUAUCGGAGAGGAAAGUGGAAUUCCUAGUGUAGCGGUGAAAUGCGUAGAGAUCAGGAAGAACACCGGUGGCGAAGGCGACUUUCUGGACGAAAACUGACGCUGAGGCGCGAAAGCGUG
rnacentral:rRNA from 1 species